GCGAAAGCAGCACAGAUCUUUCCAGUUGUUUCCAAGCGCAAGGCGGGUGUAAUUGUCACAGGUUUCUGAGCCAAGGCCCGGAGAUGUAAAUCUCCUUGCCGCAGGUUAUGUGUCCCUGGCAGCGCCGGGCAAGGGGUCUAUGUCCCAAAGCGCCUUGGCUUAUUCGGUUUCCUCUGCCAGGAACGACAGUUCUUCACUCUUGGGCUUAAACUCAUCUGUCCUUCCGGAUCCAGCUCAAAUUCUGUCUCUGAUGCCCUCCGGGAACUCCCCGCCUCACGCGCCCCUCCUCCCCUCCGAAUUUCUUCUUCUGAACGCCCAAGGUUCUUUGAUAACUAUUAUGGCCUUUACCUAAUACGUUGUAUCAGAUUGUAUUUGUUAUUGUCAGUACUCUAUGAGAGCCUUGAAAGCAAAAGUUCAGCCGUCUGCAUUGGUCAUCUUCCUGUAGCCAGUGUCCAGUAAGGCCUUGAACCAUUGUAAGAAGCUCAGUAAAUGUAUAUUGAGGCAGGCUACGGUCUAGUCCAGGACUCUUCUUCACUAAAUCAUGACUACGUUGAUGUGCUAGAUAGCAGCCUCUCCUUGAAUAUAUAAACACUUGACCCUGUGGGCCACUGCAGAGGGGGAAGGAUCUGAAACUACUUGAGAAUGGUGUUGACAUUGAGAAUGAUUGGAUUCUGCAGCUACCCUUAGCCACCAUCCUGGGUGUGCCAGCAGGGACUAGGGCAUCUCCAGAAGACCGCAAAGCCAGGGACAAGUGACCCUCUGUCCGGUUCUUCCACCUCCAAUAUUUUCAUGUUCAUGAUUAGAGAUUAGUGAAACUAAAGAGCAUAUUAAAGGGAAAAGAGGUCAUCAAAGGAUAAUGAGCAGCCUGAGUGGGGCUUGAGAUAAUGUACCUGAAAUUGCUUUUUUAAAAUAUAAAAGCAUCAGAUACAUGGAUGAAUGUAAGGUACACGAAGGCUUCAGCAGGGAAUCCCAGUACCUUCUUCCACUGGCUUUUGUGGUGGAGGAUAGGGCAGGCACUAUGCUGGGGCAGGUGCUUGGUUAUUCAUCUCUAGGCAGUCUUCUGCAGAAAAAGUUCUGGGUGUGUGCAACAAAGUAUAGGGUAGUGGGAAAGGGAGGACUCAAAAAUAGUAGGAAAGCAAAGGAGUGGUGACUCUUGAUACACUGUCUCAUCUCCUGAUCUUUACUCAAAUGUCACCUUUUCAGUACGUUUUUCCUGAUCUAUAUAAAACUGUAACUCAUUCCCUAGCCUCCUAUUCAUGUUUUUUUUCUAUACUAUAUAUUACCACCUAACAUACUCUAUUUGUUAUAUUUUUAUGUUGUUAUCUUUUUCUUCCCAUCAAGAAUGAAAGCUCCGUGGGCCGGGGGAUUCAACAUCUGGAACAAUGCCCAUUCCCGUGCCCAUUAUCUGUGGAGUGAAUAAAUGAUCAGCUAUCUCAUUUUCUUCCCUUUAGUUCUUUCUCUGCUCUGAAUAUUUGCAAAAUUAAGAAAGGAAGAAUAUAGGCAAAAUAUAAUAGAGAAAGUCCUAGAGAUUAAGACUGAAGAGUGAAAUAGCCAACAGGAUGGACUCUACUUACACUGAGAUGCUGUUGAUUUUUUCCCCAAGCAGGCAUUAGGACAUGUGAUCUUGCAUGGGCAGGGAUGUUUAUGGGGCCUGCAGGACAGGUUAUUUUGAAUGGUGAUUAUUCCUGGAAGAUGUGGGAUGAACAGUUAAUAUGACUGUUCAUACUACACGUAAAGAUAUUGGGAACCCUCACAGGCACCUGAUGGUAAACCCCAGAGAUAGGACCAAGCAGUUUAGUUUUCUUUCUGGCAGCAAGAUCCAGGAACUUUACCUGCGUUGCUCUUUGACACUACUCAUACUUCCUCGAGGUUCUUCUUCCUCCCCAAAUUAGUAAGUGAUUAAGCUGGGAUUGAAGUCUCUUUGAUUUCUUUCCCUCGUGCUGUGGGAAGAUGCUGGGAAGGAAAAAACAGGGGUAGAACAAGAACCACGACUGGGAAGGAAGAAAGAGGAGAACAUGGGAGAGAACAAGGAAACAACCACAGUCCUUGGACACCUACUAGUCUGUGAUUUGGCUCCAGGAGGUUUAUUCCUUUAUAACCUUUUAAGAUUAUACACAAUUUUCAGGUGCUUUCUCCCAACUCUCUUCCAGAUAGAGGUUUUGACCUUUAACAGAUUUUCAAAGAGGUUUGUGACUCAAAAAGAUUUUGAAUCCAACACUGAGCCAUGCAGUUUGUCUAGAGUUUGUUCUAAUGAAGCAUUUUUAAAUGGAUUCCCCCCUCCCCCACCCCACCCCCCACUUAAAAUAGGGAAAGGGAGGACAGAACUCUGUCUGAACCACUUAUAAAAGUCUGGCUAAUAAAAACAAAAGUGUGGCUAUAAGAAACAUGGUGAAAUAAGCUAGUUUUCUCAGCCCUUUCUGUGAAAGCAGAAGUUAUGGCUGUUCAAUUGCUAUUACUAGAAGUCAUUGUGAAAUAUUGAAGUCUAGUAGAUUUCCAGGUCUGAGGACAAAGUAUGGUUUGCUUUUACAGUCUUCUGCCUUAUCUUCAAAAUAUCUGGGGAUUUGUGACAGGAACAUGAAUUCUUCUCUCCCAGUGACUGUUUUCAUCCAUAUAUUCUUAUAUAUUUGAGUAGUGCUUUGCCAAAUAUUUUUACAUGUGUAUUAUUUCAAACAGCUCUGUGAAGUAGGCAGGGCAGGAAUGAUGAUCAAGUGCCACCUUUCUCUUUAUUUUCAGGUGUGAAAACAGAGACCUAGAGAAUUUAAGUGACUCCUUCCUGGUUGCAUGGGUAAUGAGUGACAGUCCCAGGGCUGGGAUUGUGCAGUUGUUGCUGGCCCUCUGAUUUUUGUGUGGGAGGAUACAACCUUUACAGUUCUUCGAGUAAAGUUACUCUUCAGGAAAUCAGAUAAUGAUGACAGAAAACUUUCAGAUGAAGAUUAAUUUAAUCAUCAGAUGCGCCUGGGGGUGUCUUCUAUUGUUUGCUCAAAACAUCUGGUUUCUACCUGCAUAAAUUAUUAUCUCAAAAGGAAAGAAUUCGGUUAUGUGAAUAGUGAUUCCUCUUUAAAGGUUUGUUUAUAAUUGCUUUCUUUUUUAAGUAGAAAAAUCCUUUUAGAUGUAAUUAGUCAUGGAAUAAUGAUGACUCAAUGUGUUUCUUGACAUAAUACAAUCAUAUUUAAACAGACCCUUCCCUUUUCCUUACAGUGUUCAGCCAUUGAGUAAAAUUUUAAAGACUUAACUAAACCAUCUUAAUGCUUACAAUUUCUGACAAAAAUUUAAGGGAAAAAGAAGACUAUUUGGAUAAUAAAUAAAGUAGAACCUGUACUUAAUUUCUGAUUUUAAGCUCCCUUUGUCAAAAAAAAAAUACACCUACAAUUAUAUUCAGA